AUUGAACGCUGGCGGCAUGCCUUACACAUGCAAGUCGAACGGCAGCACGGGGCAACCUGGUGGCGAGUGGCGAACGGGUGAGUAAUGCAUCGGAACGUACCUUUCAGUGGGGGAUAACGUAGCGAAAGUUACGCUAAUACCGCAUAUUCUGUGAGCAGGAAAGCAGGGGAUCGCAAGACCUUGCGCUGAUUGAGCGGCCGAUGUCAGAUUAGCUAGUUGGGGAGGUAAGGGAUCACCAAGGCGACGAUCUGUAGCGGGUCUGAGAGGAUGAUCCGCCACACUGGAACUGAGACACGGUCCAGACUCCUACGGGAGGCAGCAGUGGGGAAUUUUGGACAAUGGGGGCAACCCUGAUCCAGCCAUGCCGCGUGAGUGAAGAAGGCCUUCGGGUUGUAAAGCUCUUUCGGCCGGGAAGAAAUCGCACGGGCUAAUACCCUGUGUGGAUGACGGUACCGGAAUAAGAAGCACCGGCUAACUACGUGCCAGCCGCCGCCGUAACAC
rnacentral:rRNA from 1 species